UUCGGAAAAAAACCACGGGAACAACCGAUAAUAUCACUAUAUGGUAAAAUAUGAGGAUAUUACAAGAGUAUUUAAUCUCUCUCUCUCUCAGGUUACUCUCUGAGGUUGUUCUAAACUGGAGGAAGCAUUUGCCAUUUUAUAGGCAAAUUCUUCAGCCUCAAUCACUUCCCCUCCAAUCACUCCCCAAAUCACUCCACCAAUUUUGCACCAAUUGUCAAAAGUGGGCCCCACCACUUUUGACCAAAAAACAAAAAA
rnacentral:lncRNA from 1 species